GAUGGGCUAAAUGGAACUGCUAACUCCAAGACUGGGCCCAGCCGCCCAGACCCGUCCAG
rnacentral:tRNA from 1 species